GACAGAGGCCUCGAGCGUUAGGCGGAAUCACUGGGCUUAAAGCGUGUGUAGGCGGGCCCGUAAGUGUCUUGUGAAAUCCCACGGCUCAACCGUGGAACUGCUGGGCAUACUGCGGGUCUUGGGCCAACUAGGGGCAGCCGGAACAAGCGGUGGAGCGGUGAAAUGCGUAGAUAUCGCUUGGAGCGCCGAAGGUGAAAACAGGCUGCUGGGGUUGCGCCGACGCUGAGACACGAAAGCCAGGGGAGCAAACGGG
rnacentral:rRNA from 1 species